UAGCAUGAACAUUUCCCCUCUCUAGUGGGCUA
rnacentral:piRNA from 1 species